rnacentral:ncRNA from 1 species
CGGUAUCGGCCCCUAACGGGGUUAAAAGGGAACAAGGCGCGCUAAGGCGCAACCUUGGCUGUACCCGCAACUGUAGGCGGCGAGCAAUGGAUCAUCGAAGCCACUGGUCCAAGACCGGGAAGGCAGAUCCGUUGCGUCGAACCGCGAGCCAGGAAACCUGCCGGUAC